rnacentral:rRNA from 1 species
UGGGGAAUAUUGCACAAUGGGCGAAAGCCUGAUGCAGCGACGCCGCGUGAGGGAUGACGGCCUUCGGGUUGUAAACCUCUUUCAGCAGGGAAGAAGCGAAAGUGACGGUACCUGCAGAAGAAGCGCCGGCUAACUACGUGCCAGCAGCCGCGGUAAUACGUAGGGCGCAAGCGUUGUCCGGAAUUAUUGGGCGUAAAGAGCUCGUAGGCGGUUAGUCGCGUCUGCUGUGAAAACUCGAGGCUCAACCUCGGGCUUGCAGUGGGUACGGGCUGACUAGAGUGCGGUAGGGGUGACUGGAAUUCCUGGUGUAGCGGUGGAAUGCGCAGAUAUCAGGAGGAACACCGAUGGCGAAGGCAGGUCACUGGGCCGCAACUGACGCUGAGGAGCGAAAGCAUGGGGAGCGAACAGGAUUAGAUAGCCCUGGUAGUCCAUGCCGUAAACGUUGGGCACUAGGUGUGGGUCCAUUCCACGGAUUCCGUGCCGCAGCAAAGCGCAUUAAGUGCCCCGCCUGGGGAGUACGCCGCAAGGCUAAAACUCAAAUGAAUUGACGGGGUCAUAGCUG